rnacentral:rRNA from 1 species
UACAGAGGGUGCAAGCGUUGUUCGGAAUUACUGGGCGUAAAGCGCGCGCAGGCGGGAUGGCAAGUCGGAUGUGAAAGCCCUCGGCUCAACCGGGGAAGUGCAUUCGAAACUGCUGUUCUUGAGUGUCGGAGAGGGUGGUGGAAUUCCCGGUGUAGAGGUGAAAUUCGUAGAUAUCGGGAGGAACACCAGUGGCGAAGGCGACCACCUGGACGAACACUGACGCUGAGGCGCGAAAGCGUGGGGAGCAAACAGG